rnacentral:lncRNA from 1 species
AUCCACCUGCCUCGGCCUCCCAAAGUGCUGAGAUUACAGGCAUGAGCCACUGUGCCUGGUCCCACUGAUUUUUUAUAGCUUCUAAUUUUCUGUUGAAAUUCUCCCACUCCUUAUCUUUUGCUUUACUUUCUUUUAUCGAUCAAUCUAAGUAUUUUAAAGUCUGAGUAUCCUGUAGAACUCUCUCUAAGUCAUUAUCUCUAUCUUACCAGUAGGGAAACUAAAAAAUUUCAUGAAGAAUAAAAUCCAUUGUACAAUGCGUAAUAUAGUCAAAGAUCUUGAAAAAGAAUUGGUGUCUAAACCAUUAUUUUUCACUUUUAAUCAAUAAACAUUAUUCCUCUUUAGAGGAGGUAAAAAAACCCAUAUAAAAUAUACUGAAAAUAAAUUUCAUUAAACAUUAAAUGAUGAAUAGUUCUAAAUCUAUCUUCUUUGCAUUCAUUAACUAGCACUUCAGAGCAAAAAUAAUGGUAGCUUUUGUUAUGGCUUCAUAUUUCUUUAAAAUAUUGACUUAAAAUAGAUUUUCAAUCUGGGGAAUAGAUAAGAACUAAUGCCAUUUGGUUUUAAAUAGAAUUGUGUUGUAAUCCUCAAGCUAAAGGCAUAGCAAAAAAAAAAAAAAUGACAACAUCACUGGAAAUUUGCCUCAGUCUACUUACUGUUCACCAUUUAAUUAGACACUUUUUAAUUCUGGCAGAAAGUCUAAGGAAUUCAUGGAUCCACCUUCUAAGCACAUCAAGGAGUGUUAAUACACUGGACAGUUAGAACAAUGGCAGCAGAACAUCUUAUUUAAACUCUUGACAUAAUAAAAUAAUUUUUUCUUGUUUUGGUAAUAAUAUCAUUAAUACUUUACAGUUGUGGCAUACUACAAUGUUAAAGAUUCAAUUAAGCAAGAGAGCACCAUAAUACACUUUAAAUAAGACUGCUAUAACUUUCACAGGCACGGUUUCAAACAAGACUAGUCAACCCUCAUUAUUCAUUAGGACUACUUCAUAUAAGUCAGCUUACCAAUAAGUAGCAUUUUACAAAAGCCUCUUAUCUACUGACUUACCAUAUAGGUCUUAGGAAAAAUGUUUUAUUUUUGAAUAGUUAUAUGGAUACUAUAAAGAUGGUGACUGUUUAUCACUAUGUUGUGAAAUUUCUUGCCUUCCUUCAAUUUUUUUUUUAAGUGGAGAAAUGAUUUUCUAAAAAGUCUGAGUCUUCUAAGCAUAGCUCAUCUCCUGGUAAAAAUUGCAGUGCUCCAUUAGUUAAUAAUGCCAUCGCAAGCCGUCCUUUUCUCUCUUCUAAUGUACCAUACAAACAAAAUUUGUGCAAGUCAAAGAGCAGGGCAAAGUUUUCAUACUUCAUAGAGCUUUAAGUAAGUUUAUUUCAUAGAACUGUGGGAGUGCCAGCCAAAGAGCUUCCAGUAUGAAACUUUCAGUUGCCUUUAUGGAGAUGGCCACUGGCAGCCUACCACCUUGGUCAUGCUCCCGUGGGCAGGCAGGGAGAAGGCAGCUUGCGCAGACAGCACAGAAAAAAGGCCUUUGGAUAGAGGCGACUUCCCAGGCUCGUGAGCUGCAAGAGCCAGGCGCUCCAGUAGCACAGAGCCCGGAAAUCGGGCACGCAGUCGGAGCGUGCGUGCAGGCACAGGAAGUGACGCAGAGUUGAUGCGUCAGGCUUAGGCUCAGACUGCAGUGACAGCAGCUGCGUUCAGGUCUUCUCGAGUUCCUGAAGGAUGGAGCCUGGGUUUUUUUUUUUUUUUUUUAAUUUAUUUCUAAAUUUCCCCCCUUUUCCCUCUGUGUUGGUCAUUUGCUGUUGUUAUUUUUGACAUGUUUUAUAAUUUUCAGUCGGUUUUCAGAAUAUAGAUAGCAUACUGUACAUUCUCUAUAUGAUGUUCCCACGAAAGUGCUGUUUUUAUUUUUUAGUUAUAAAGCACUUCAGUGAAUGACUUUGAUCCAGUUGAGACUUAGUUUUAAGCUUUGUUAUACUUGACCUUUUUAAUUUGCUACUUACAGGAUGUGACCAUUAAUCUUAGAAAGUAGCUUUGCCCAAGUCCUGGACCUAGGUUUAGCACGCUCCCUCUGGAUUUAAUUCUAAUCUCUAACUCCUCAGUGCCAUUCAGCUGCUGAAAUCUCUGCUCAGCAUUCAAGCUUUCUGUUUGCUGUUUCCCACUACAUAUCUUGAAGGCUUGCCUUGUACAUGCACAAGUCAGAAAUUUACCCACAAUUUGAGGGAAAUUAGGAUGCAGAUUUGGGGACACUCUCUUAGCUUCCUGUCUUUUUCAAUAGUUUGCUCCUCAAAUCACAGCUCCUUUGGCGUCCUGAAACGCCAGACUUUGUCUCCUCUGACGUGUGAAACUCCUGCUUUCUUCUUGGGCUCUUUUCGCCUUCACCACAACUUGGAAAAUGCCCCCAGGAAAAUUCCGAGGUUCUCAGGGUGGCAGAUGAGGAAGAAGGUGGAGAACAGGAUAGAAAUGAAAUUUUGAGAAGGGAGUCCAGCCUAGAAGGUAGGAUCCUGUAAGUCCCUUGACUGCUAGGCCAUUGUAUAUCAUUUUAACUGCUACUUCCAAAGUGUUUUCACAAUGUCUCUCACAUGAUAGUUGCUCCAAAAA